rnacentral:lncRNA from 10 species
UAGGGUUUGGGAUAACUUCAUGAUGACCAUGAAGGGGCUAACAAGCUACAGGGACCUGAGUGAGACCCUCAACCAGACUCCAAAUUCAAAUCAUUUGGCUUCCACAGACAGGUGAACUAGGAAAUAGGAAUGAUCCUCUGGCCUGGUAAUCAGUUCAUUGUUUCACAUCAUCUGGGUUCCUGGGAUGGCAGCACACCUGACUGGCCAUAUCCUUUGUAAUCUGCCUCGCUUCCCUUUCUCUCAGAUGUUUUCUCUUUAGUUUACAACGAUCAGCCAUUUUCCUUUUCCACUCUUAGUGCAUAAAUGCAUGCUUAUGCUUAUUUUGUUAUUGCAUUUGCAGUCUUUGCUUUAGAUACUGGGCUUUUGUUUUUAUAUUCUGUGUAAGGCUGGACACUUCUCUUGUUUGUUUUGAGUUAUUCGUUAUUUUGAGAUGUCUCCCAUUGUUCUGACUCUGAGAUGCCAGAGUCACACUGUUCUAUGCUCCCAGUUGUGUGCCUUUAGGGUUCACUACUGGCCACCCCCAGAUGCUCCAGCAUUUUUGAUAGUUGUUGUGGGGACCCUCAUUGGAUGACUCCUGGAUGCUCUGUAUCUUGUGGCAUUUGGCAUAAAUUGAUUUGUGGGGGAUCCUGGAUUUGGGUAGGGUGAUUACAUCAGCAGUCAGUCUCAAAUGUAUUUUGUUCUUAUUAGAGACUGAACCACCUUUUGUUCUUUGUUAGUUUUCUUAUUCCACCCUAUUCAGCAACCUCUUCUAGUCUGUCCUAAAGUCAGAACUUCCUUUUUUUCUGCAAUGGCUAGCUACAGGUCUCUUGUCUCUGUUUCUCCCUCUGCUUAAACUGAAAGCCCCAAAUGAGCUUCCUUGCUCAAGCCCAUUUUUCUGGGGUCCUGGAGCCCUGACUUGACAGAUGACUUCCUGCAGCAGCAGACAAGUGGUGAUGUGAACACUUUCUUUGGUGUCUCCACUGCUGGCCUCCCUGCUGCGUUUUUUCUGAGUCUGUGAGAAAGAAGAGCCAAGCUGCAGAGAAAGAGAUUCUGCCAUGUGCUGUGUGAUCCUGCAUGGUUUAUAACCUCCAGUCUUUUCAUCCAUGACGUGAGGAUAACAAUACCUCCUCAAAGGGCUUUUGUGAGGAUUACACAACCCAGGGUAUGUACAAUGCCUGUGAAAGUGCCUGGCACAGAGGCCAGGACUCAAUACUUCUGAGUACUGCCUGCAGGUCAGAAGCUUCUCUCACUUCCAACUCUAGCCAUUUCUACUGCUAUUUGGUUUUCUGUUCCUGACUUACCAGUAGCUCUAUGAUCUGCAUGUUCUGUAAUUUACUACUACUAACUAAGCUUAGUCUAUAUGGUUUGCUAAUUAACAGCUUCCCUUCUUAAUAUUCCUAAUAGAGUUAUUUUCAGCAUCAAAUGAUAUAAUAAGUGGA